UUGGCUGGAAAAAAUAGGGUUCUUCCUGUGGGCAUCGACAGUGGACCCCCCGGACAGAUAGCUGGGUAUUGACGCGUACUCUGACGUGAUCAAAUCAAAUCAUCUGCAUCAGUGUCCAUGGAGAUAUGCCCCACCCACUCUGUGAGUCUUCACCUACGUACUGGAGAGUGCAUAGCAGAUACUAACAUACUUAAUUGUGUUGUGUGCUUAGAUCUUUAAUACGGGCUGUCUAUAUACUAAAUAGAAUAUAAUUAUGCUUUCAAUUCCUGCGUACAUUGGUGUGUCACGGUAUUGAUGUUAAGAGCUUCGUAUGUCUCUUGUCAUUGAUGUACUAUUCUGGGAAUCCCUCUACUAUGAUCAAACAACAUGAUAAUCAUCGACAUGUGCUCUUAAUAUUAUUGCUCUUGUACAUACUUUGUCCAGCUUCUACUACUAAUCUAUUUCAGUGUGAGGCUAUUGACUUACUUUAUGCCUCUAUGUGUAACGUUGAGCGCUAUGUUAACACUCCCCCAGGUUCAGAAAUGUUGUGUUGAUCACGUCACAGUUGUUCCGCCAAGAUUCCGGAAGUACUAUAUAAGUACACAAAUUUAUUUGCAACGGAAGUUCAACUUCCGCUAUCAAAAUGAAGCUAAUACUACAAGUAAUUAAAUAUUCACACACUUAUAUUCUACGAAGUAUUGUACAUACACUCACGAACGAGCUCAGGCACGUAGAACUGUUCCUAGUCUACAUGCAUACACGAGAAUAGUUGUUAAGCUUUUAUAAGUUUGGCUCCACGAGCUCAAAUAGCACUCUAUGUCAUAAUUAUGAUAGUACUCCUCUAGAACAAGUGACAAAAAAUUUUGCUAACAAAGUGAAGCUACGUGAUGGGUAUCAACAAAAUUUGUAAGCUUUGAGCAUUACUUUGCAAAAACAUUUUGCUUGUACCCAGCUUUGAAGCAAAAAUUAUGAGCUUGCAAACUUGACCACAAUUUCCAUGUCAAACCACAUGGAGUCCCACAAGAUGGAGUGCACCACACGUACACAGACUAUGGACACAUCAUAGACAUUCCAGGUUUGUUGUGUCACACAAUAAUGAUAUAAAAAAUUAAUACAAACAUUUGUAAAAUAGUGUCUAGCUAGUAAGCGAAAAACUAGAAGGCAGCUUUCUUUUGGGGAAGUCAGUGACAGUGUUGCAGACAACGGAGUAUGUGAGUUGUGCCAUGGCGUCAGUGGGAAUAUGAGUAGUCCAAGCAACUGGCGAAGUGAGCCAGCACGUACCCUUGCAGCCUCCUUGAAGAUUGAUUUCACUCGUCAGGUUUGUCCUAAAUGUAGAAAAGAUAUAACACGCUGUUUAGGGGAUGAUACAUACGCACCACAAUGGGACAAACCUAACAAAAAAGCAUAUGUAGUGUAUUGGAAUGUUACAGAUGCUAUACUAGCGUCACUCGGUAAACCCAAAGAUCUCAUAGAAGAUGCACUUCGACGCGCUAAAGUGGAUGUGACUACAUAUCCUUUUUUAGCAAAAUAGGAAAAACAACAUUUUUACGAUAUUUUUACCAGAACACUAAGUUUAUAUCUUCAGGAUUGGAAAGCUCGACCCCAGGCACCCUAGCAAAUGUAAGACUUUCAAAUCAAGAGUACGAAUUGGGUUUUUUAGCAUUUGUACGUCUGGUGGGAACAGCUUACUUUAAACAACAUGCAACAGGAUUUGACACUAACUCACCAGCUACAUAUUACCAUUCAUUGUCUGAACAAAAUUUAACAGUUAAAGAACAACACUCUAUUUGGCUAGACAAUAUAAGGCAAAAUAUUUGGGACAGGGUCAAAUUUGAAAACGAGAUGAUACCAUCUGAUGAUGCACUUUUGCUUCAUUGGAAGCGAUCGUGUUGGGUUCUACACAUGUGGCAACAAUCUGAUCAACCCAUUAUGACAUUAGAGCCAUUAGAAAACUACGGUUGGAGUAUCACAGACAAUGAGCUCACCAUUAAAUGGGAUACUGCCACCAACGUACAGGCUGUCCGUGAUCGAGUCAACUCACUCCUUAAAGGAUGCAAGUGUUCGACAGGUUGUUUGACUGGACGGUGUGGCUGCAAGAAAAGGGGGAAGCAUUGUUCAAUUGGCUGUGAGUGUUUAAAUUGUGGUAAUAACAUAGCAGGGUCAAAACAGAACGAAACUCACAUUAUAUCUCUGGAAGAAGAUGUGGAGGCAGGCAGAUUGACAGACAGAGAAGGGGAAGACAUCGUCGACUGGGUGUUCGGACAAAAUACAGGGAGUGACAGUCAAACCAGUCAGUCCGAAUCAGAGCCUGAGUUAGACUAAGAUUAAAUGGUUAUGUUUAAGAUAUUGUUUGUUAUGCUUAAAAUAUUGUUUAUAUUUAUGCCUCGAGGCGUAGCCGCACGAGGGAUACGGUAAAGCUGACUGUGUGUGUAUGUGUGUGUGUGUGUGUGUGUCUGUUCCAGCUGUAACUGCUCAACGGUUGCAAUGCGACGAAAGCUAACAGCUUCUAUAGGCUUCUAGCCACGUUCCCUUGGGUUUUGAUUCGUGGAUUAGCAAACUAAAGCUUCUUUCUCGAGUUAUGGCUAGUUUGACUCACAUUGAAGGCUGUUGCAGUCUCUUCAGAAUCUUUCAUAGCAUCAUCUGUCCGCACAAACUUUCUAUUCAACAUAUGAGUUAGCCUUGCACUAAAGCGCUAGCUUUUUGUUAGCUACAAUACUCAGAAAAUAUCUGUUAAAACAGCUAGCUAGCAGUAGCCAUUUGUGAAAUUGAUCUCUUUGGACACACCCUUUAAUUAUUCCUAUGGAUGUAAUGCGCAUGCGCGCUCAUUCCCUGUGUGAGAAAAAUCCAAGAUCCAGAUCCAGAUCCUCCUGGCAGAAUCAUCUUUGUAUUGAGGGCCUGGUAAGCCACAAAACACUACCAUGCAUAUAACAAUAUUGAUAACAAUAUGCAUGUACACAGGUAUUUUCUUCUUAGAUAUUAUAUACACUGAACUACAGAUCCUGGAAGAAGAAUCAAUUUUCUUCUUUCUUGAGGUCCUGGUAAGCCACAUAAUACAAUAAAUAAUAACAACAAUAGAUGCAUGUAAAUAAGUCUUUUCUUCUCAGUGACUUUAUAUAAAUAAGCUAACUUUAAUAUAAAAUUCAUUAUAGAAACCAAUAUAACACUCUAAUACUUUUGAGCGAAAGCAAAAACAUGGCGAGAGGCAUUAGCACAGCGCCAGCUUGAACACUAGUUUUACUUGUACUCAAAUUGUGUGUGGCUUUACUAGGCAUGCUAAAACAAGUGACAAAAAAUUUUGGUAACAACGAAUCUGUUCCUUACUUAGCAUACACUGUAGCUAAAGGCUUGUACAACAGCUACCAGCUAAAACUGACUUGUACUCGCUCACCGUUAUUCCAUAAGCGCCGUCUCAGUAAAAAUUCCAGGGGGGCUGGUGGUAGCUUUUUGUAACAAAAACAGUGCAACCUCUUUCAAAAAUAAGAGGCAUGGCAUUAUUUAAGGCAUGGUGGUUGCUACAACACCUAUGCAGCCAGUAUCAGACUUUAUAGCUUGAGUUAUAGGACUGUAUCUUCAGCUAUUGCCACUAACCUACAACACUAUCAAGCGGAGCUUCUUUGUGAUUUUUGUUGCUGUUGAUGACGUCACGGUUGCAAAUAUAUUCACGUGAGCUGUCAGAUGGCGGAGCAACUGGUCAGUGGAUGUGAGCAAGUUUGAGGUGUCUGGUCGUUUCCUGGGCAGGCAGAUAGAGAAUGUGGAGCUGGUCUUCCAGGACCUCCUUCAGCUGCAAUACGAGGGUCUGGCAAUCAUGAAGAUGUUUAGAAGAUGUUUGGGAGGGCUAAAGUGAACGUUAAUUUGCUCAUCUUCCUCAUAAUUAUAUGAACAAAAGGCAUCAGAACAUUAAAUUUGAUUUUCACUAGCAAAUUGCUUGCAUUGACAAUUUACUGUGCAUGUGAGCAUUUAUCCAAUUCAAGGAGAAGCCCUUGUUAUGCCUCGAGGCGUAGCCGCACAAGGGAUACCGUAAAGCUGACUGUGCGUGUGUGUCUAUUAUUACCGCACGAGGGAUACGGUAAAGCUGACUGUGUGUGUGUGUGUGUGUGUGUGUGUGUGUGUCUAUCAUUACCAAGGAGAAGAAAAAAAUUACUGCCUUGUGUCAGGUAUAUAGUGUUGUGCUUGUACGGUGUAUGUAAGUACAUGUAUUCAUUUGUCUUACACCAGUUGAAGUGUUUCACUGCCCUCUCUUCUCCCCACACAGGACCUCCUUCAGCUGCAAUACGAGGGCCUGGCAAUCAUGAAGAUGUUUAGAAGAUGUUUGGGAGGGCUAAAGUGAACGUUAAUUUGCUCAUCUUCCUCAUAAUUAUAUGAACAAAAGGCAUCAGAGCGUUAAAUUGGAUUUAAUUUACAU